AAAAACGAACGACCAGGGCACGCUCCUUCCCUGCCCGAGACCCAAACCUAGCUAGCGCCUAGCGCGGCGGCGGCGGCGGCGGCUUACCUGGCGGGCGCGAGGUCGCGAGGACCAGGGCACCAGGCGGGCGCGGGCGGCGGAAGGCUGGGGGCUUGGAGCCUUGGAGGGCGGCGGCUCCAGUGGCGCAGCAAGCGGCGGCUUCACUAGCAGCUCCGGCGGCCACUCCAGUGGCGCGGCGGCUUCAACGGCGGCUACAGCAGGCGACGGCCACAGUCGGGGUUUGGGAUUCAGUUUUGUCUAGAUUGCUAGAAGAUGGAAGGAAAGGGAAAGGGACUAGUAAAUCCAAAGAAAAGAGGAAGAGAUUUGAAAAAGUAUUUUGAAGUGCUUGGUAGUGGCAGCAACUCACAAACAAAUCCAAGCACCCGCGAAAGUGUCAAUAUUUCAGCAAAUGUCAAUCAUCAAGAUCAAGUGACUUCCAUGGAAGAAGAGCAUGAAAAUUUGAUGCCGACCUAACAAGUGGAAGAACAAACUGCAGAUUCGGUCGAAGCUAUAGUAGAAGAGAAUGUUGAAGUUCACGGGGUUGAAGGUAUAACUAUUUUUAGUGAAGAUUACAUAAAUGGUGAUCCAGGCCUUCGCAUUCCACUUGAUAGUUUUGCCCCCAACAUUAGAGAUGAUGUUAGAUUUGCUUAUAUCCGAAUGGGUGCAACUCAACCAACUAGUUGCACUUCCCCCCCAAAUAGAGAUGGAAGAUGCUUCCGGCCGCAAUGGUAUAAGGAUUUUGAGUGGUUGGAAUAUAGUGUGGAUAAGCGUAAGGCAUAUUGCUUCUAUUGUUAUCUUUUUAUGCAUAUGACCGAAUGGAUGAUAAAUUUGGGCAUGAUGUUUUCUCCAAAUUGGGUUUUGACUGUUGGAAAAAUGCGGUUGCAGCAUUCCGUAAACAUGUUGGUGGGCCAUGUAGCAUCCACAAUAUUUCAAAAACAGCAUGUGAUGAUUUUAAAAAUCAAAGGGCAAGUGUGAAAAGUAAAGUUACAACUUAUAGCAAAGGUUCACUAGUCAAGUAUGAAACUCGUGUGGAUACAUCUUUGGCCAUUGUAAGUUAUCUAGCAUUGCAAGGUGAACCAUUUCGUGGACACGAUGAAUCCAGUUCUUCUUUGAACAAGGGGAAUUUUUUGGAGCUACUUGAUUGGGUGAAAGAAAGAAUUCCAGAAGUGAAGGUUGCAUUUGAUGAGCUAUGCCCUAAGAAUGCCCAAAUGACUUCCGGAAAAAUUCAAAAAAUCCUUAUUUCCCAUUGUGCAAAUGCGGUCACCAAAGCAAUCAAAGAAGAGAUGGGUGAUUGUCUUUUCUCUGUCCUUAUUGAUGAGUGUCGUGAUAUAUCGGUGAAAGAACAAAUGGUUGUGGUUAUU